ensembl:lncRNA
CCCAGGUUUGAUCCCUGGUCAGGGAGCUAGAUCCCACAUGCAGCACUAAGAGUUCUCAUGAUGCAACUGAAGGUCCCACAUACCACAGUGAAGAUGGAGGAUCCUGAGUGCUACGACCAGGAGCCACUGCAGCCAAAUACAUAGAAUUAAAAAUAAGGGGGGCCCUAAUCCCAAGGGAUUAGCUUUCUUUUCUAAGAAGAGGAAGAAACACCAGAGAGCUGUCUCCUCUCUCCAUGUGGGCAAAGGAUGAAGGCAACAUCUCUAAGCCAGAUAAAGGGGCUUCACCAGCAACCAACUUGGAGGCACCUUGACCUUGGACUUCUAGUUUCCAGAACUGUAAGAAACCGAAUCUGUUGUUUAAGCCCUUGAGUCUGUGCUAUUCUAUUUUGGCAGCCUGAGCAGACUGACACACCCAUGUGCCUCAUUUACUUUGUGCGUCGCUUCUGUGGGCAUUUGAGCUUGAGAUUCCUGCUUUAUGUCCUUGAGAGUUAAAAGUGAAUAUCCACGUCUUAUGCUUUGUCUACUGAUGGGGAAAAAGUUAAAUGGAGACAUCAUUUGUGACAGGAUGCAAUGUAAGAGAUAUGCAAACGGAUAUCAAAGGACAGAACUGUCAGUGGGGGACAUGGAAGGGAGAAGAGAAGUUUUCACCAUGCGAAGAGCAUGUUGAAGGGUUUUAAGAGAUUCAGAAGAUUUCAAUGAACAGUGAUGGAACAGAAGGCAGAAGCUAAGGUUUUCUGUUGCUUAGGUUGGCUCGAGUCUGUGGAUUGGGGUCUCGUCUGCUUCACCAAUACCAGUGGCUGUCUGGGGCAUGCUAUUCUCAUUGCAGACCACAGAAAUAUUCAGACCUGCUUUGUUUUGAGUAUGUGCUCAUUAUCUGCUAAAGUGUGUUUUCACUACUACUAUUGGAAGCAUACACAGGGAGCUGGCCGUGAGGUGUGUAUAUUUGUGUUUCUGUGUGUGUGUUUGUGAAGUGCUUGGAGUAGCUGUGCUGGUUGGGGAAAUCUGUGGGCAGGAUAUCCCAGUGACUCAUAGGUAAGCCUCCAGAAUGGAAUCUGUGAUGUGGUUGGAAUCAUUCAUGUCUCUUGGAUGCUUUCUACUCCCAGCUGCUGUUCUAGCUGCUCACUGCUCCCAGCCGUGCAGCUCAUGACUCAGUAUGCUGGAUGAGACCAGAGAGAAAUGGGCCUCCAGGAUAGUGUCCCACAUAGCUGAGGGAGCCAGGUGCUCACUCACAUA